CCUACGGGAGGCAGCAGUGAGGAAUAUUGGUCAAUGGGCUUACGCCUGAACCAGCCAAGUCGCGUGAGGGAAGACUGCCCUAUGGGUUGUAAACCUCUUUUGUCAGGGAGCAAUUGGCGCUACGUGUAGCGUUAUCGAGAGUACCUGAAGAAAAAGCAUCGGCUAACUCCGUGCCAGCAGCCGCGGUAAUACGGAGGAUGCGAGCGUUAUCCGGAUUUAUUGGGUUUAAAGGGUGCGUAGGCGGGACUGCAAGUCAGAUGUGAAAAUUAUGGGCUCAACCCAGAACCUGCAUUUGAAACUGUAGUUCGUGAGUGAUGGAGAGGCAGGCGGAAUUCCGUGUGUAGCGGUGAAAUGCGUAGAUAUACGGAGGAACACCAGUGGCGAAGGCGGCCUGCUGGACAUUAACUGACGCUGAGGCGCGAAAGCGUGGGGAGCAAACAGGAUUAGAUACCCCAGUAGUC
rnacentral:rRNA from 1 species